ensembl:lncRNA
AUGGUGGGAAGAGGAAAGGGACAGAGUGGUAGGGAAGGGGAAAGGGAGAGAUGGAGGGAAGAGGAAAGGGACAGAGUGGUAGGGAAGGGGAAAGGGAGAGAUGGAGGGAAGAGGAAAGGGACAGAGUGGUAGGGAAGGGGAAAGGGAGAGAUGGUGGGAAGAGGAAAGGGACAGAGUGGUAGGGGAGGGGAAAGGGACAGAGUGGUAGGGAAGGGGAAAGGGACAGAGUGGUAGGGAAGGGGAAAGGGAAGAUGGUGGGAAGAGGAAAGGGACAGAGUGGUAGGGAAGGGGAAAGGGAGAGAUGGUGGGAAGAGGAAAGGGACAGAGUGGUAGGGAAAAUGGACGAAGGAGAAGGAAAGGCAUUCCUAAAGCCUGAGAACUACAGGUAGACCUGUACCUGUGGUUAGAUACACUGUUCUACAUUAUAAACACUCAAUCACACACACAAUGUUGGAUAUACUACAUUAAUUGGCAUGGACCUGUUAUUAUAGUCCAUUAAUAACACACACACACACACGGGUAAUUCUCACGAAACUGUAAUAAAAAAAUACAUUUAGUCAUUUUUCACAAAAUGUCCUCUUGAAUAACUGAGAUUAGGAUCUAUAUGUAUCUAUUUCAUACUUAUUAUUAUUUUUUAUUAGAUAUUAUGCAUUCUACCAACGUUUUCACAAAAUUCUCAUUCGUUUUUGAAGUCCAAAAAAGUUAAAUCAAUAUUUCUAAUAUUUUUUAACAUUGCUCCCCUAAUGAAAAUGCCUGAGUUAAACAUAACACUGAAAAUACAAUUAUUAUAAAAUGAAAAUCAGACUUUUCCCCAAUUUGAGCUCUUUAGCUGUUUUCUAAGGACUACUCUAGAUGAUGCAUCAUGGGUGAAGAAAUGUUUAUUUCAAAGCUGGAGUUUUAUAGGAACUUGGUAAUGAGACAUAUCCACAGACACUGCUUGUAUGUAAUAAAUAUUAUAGUUUAAUGUAAACUUCAACUAGUAUACCAUUUUUAUAAUUUAUGGAGAAACUACAGCAACAUAUUUUGUUUUAUUUAAACAAGUUAGGUUUUUUUAAAGAUGUAUUUUUAUAAAAUUACCAUGAAUUUAAUCAGUACGCAUUUCAGUAAUGAAAAUGUAUUUUUCAUUAUUUUUUUACAUGACACUUUCCCCUAAAACUAGACAUCUUAGUCCUCAGAAUGAUAUCAUGCACCACCCCACACACACACAAGUUAAGGAAUUGCAUUGGGAACGUCUGUGUGAUUUCAGUCCCUCUAAAAGAGUGUUCAAAAGGAUGUGAAUGGAAGAGAGGACAGAAUGAUGAGAAUGAAGGGAAGAAUAGAAGGAAGGGGAGAAGGAAGAAGAGAAGGAAGGGGAGAUGGGAGAAGGAAGAAGAGAAGAAAGGGGAGAAGGAAGAAGAGAAGGAAGAAGAGAAGAAAGGGGAGAAGGAAGGGGAGAUGGAAGAAUAGAAGGAAGGGAAGAAGAGAAGAAAGGGGAGAAGGAAGAAUAGAAGGAAGAAGAGAAGGAAGGGGAGAAGGAAGAAGAGAAGGAAGGGGAGAAAGUGUGAUGCUGCUUCUAGUAUGGCUCUUCUUACUGUACUCAUGUGCCUUACAGCCAGACUAUGGUGCUUUUACCUUAUUCUGUUAUUUUUCACUUACCUUGUUGUUGCUCAACCUGCUAUAAGCAUGUUUUGUCCAUGUGCCUUUAUGUCCAAUACUCCAGUUGCCAUGAAAGACAGACUUUAGAAAAGAGACACAACAAGAUUUAACCUACUGCACUGUAUGGACCUUGAUUUGAGGGCCUGUUAAUAAACUGCUUUAUUGAAUGGUUAAUAAACAAUUUAAUAAUGUAAACUGGUUCAUAAACAAUGUAAUCAUGUUUAUAAGCAUCUUAUAAGCAGUCCUUCAAACAAAGUGUUAAAUCGUUUUGGGGGUAUAUUGAGAUUCUGCGGAUUCUGAAUGAUGCUCUCCUUCCUCUGCUGAUGACAUGUUUAUGUGCCAGUGGUAACGCUCUGUCUGUAGACACUCUCCGUUGACAUUGGAGAGGAAAAGACUUGUUAUCAAACAGUUUUAUCAUGUUUUCGCUCUGUAUGUGCGUGACUAUUUUCAGUAUAUCUUCUGAGUGUCAUUGACAUGUUACCAAGGUCACACAGGCAGAACUUUAUUUUCAGUAUAUCUUCUGAGUGUCAUUGACAUGUUACCAAGGUCACACAGGCAGAACUUUAUUUUCAGUAUAUCUUCUGAGUGUCAUUGACAUCUUACCAAGGUCACACAGGCAGAACUUUAUUUUCAGUUUAUUUCAAUAGUUUUUGCAAAACAAAAAUUGCCAUUGUAAAUGUAAAGGCAAAAAACAACAGUCCAGCCAGUCAGGAUCCCAAAUAGAAUGUCAAUAAUUCAGAUUUUUUUUAAAGCAAUAUUUGAACUGUUUUCCAGUCUAGACCAGUUAAGACCAGUAUGGACCAGUUGUGGUUUCAUUGCAGUGUGGUAUGAUGCAUGUCAUCGACUAGAGAUGCAUUCAACUCCGCUAACGAUUAUAAAGCUCCCAACUCUGAGCGCCCACCAACAAUCCAACUCACCAAGAAUGUUCGACAACAGGAGCAAACUCUUCUAUUCUAUUGAAAACACUUGAUUGUGUACUCUUUCUUCAACAAUGACGAAAGUUUUCUGCAAAUGUUUGCAGAGUUGAAUGCCAGUCUGGUUUGGUCCAGUCCAAUCUGUUUCUGGGCAUAAUGAUCCAGUAGAAUCCUGACCCACACUGAUGAUAUCAUGCAUCAUGAUGGAUAUUCAUUGGGGGCCUGGAUUGGUUGGUCAGAACAGGACAUUUCUUCUCAGGAGACUGGAAAGGGCCAUUGUAAUUUAGGCUUUAUUUAGCACAGAUUUUUUUAGGCCAUACUGCCCCGGAUUAGAUUAUCCCGUGUGUGUGGUAUGUGUUUUUCUGUUAUUCUAGAGUGAUUUGAGGUAUGAUUCCUAUGAGAAACAGGUUUACAGUCAUGUUUCAUGUUUGACAUCAUUGUUUCAGAAAAGUUAGGAUUUUUCUUGAGUUUGGAUUUUAGCAACUCAAUUGCUCAGUAAGCAAAAAUAUGAUCCAUGGAACAAUGGAAGUGUUGUAUUUUUAUCAUUAUAUAUUUUCAAUUGUUGUUGUAUGUUAAGUGCCUUAUCUGUAAUGUAUGGGAUAGCCUACCCUCUCACCUUUCUACCUUCUUCAGCUCCUCUCAUCCUCAUUCAUCCUUUCUCCCUCUUUCUUCUGCUUCUUAUUGUUCCCCACUCCUACUCAUCCAUCUCCUCCCUCAUUCUGAGAUCCUCCCCUCAGCCUUUCACAUCCCCACUCCAACCCUCGUUCAUUUGUACUAACCUUGACCAAUCUUCCUCUCUUCCCCCGUCGCUUUGGAAAAACAACAGUCACGUAAUUACAGUGUUAUUUUUAUGUGUGUAUUAUGAUGCUUAAGUAUUAUCAUUAAUAAUAAAAACAACGAUCAUGAAUAACUACGCCAAACCUGUCUACUCCAAUGUUUGUUUUACACACUCAAAUUAUGAAGUUCUCCUCACUGAUCGAUAAUGGGAGAGUAUCUACAG